rnacentral:rRNA from 1 species
AUACGGAGGAUGCAAGCGUUAUCCGGAUUUAUUGGGUUUAAAGGGUGCGUAGGCGGUUUGCUAAGCGGGAGGUGAAAUGCCGGCGCUCAACGUCGGAAGUGCCUCCCGAACUGGUGGACUUGAAUGACUCUGCCGUGGGAGGAAUGUGUAGUGUAGCGGUGAAAUGCUUAGAGAUUACACAGAACACCGAUUGCGAAGGCAUCUCACGAAGGGUUGAUUGACGCCGAGGCACGAAAGCGUGGGGAUCAAACAGGAUUAGAUACCCUGGUAGUCCGCGCACUAAACGAUGUCAACUAGCUGUUGGGUUCUUCGGGACUUAGUAGCGCAGCUAACGCGUGAAGUUGACCGCCUGGGGAGUACGGUCGCAAGAUUAAAACUCAAAUGAAUUGGCGGGG